CGGUUUUCCACCUCCUUAAUGAAGCCAUACGCGUUUUCAAUGGCCUUAACUGAAACACAAAAACUCUAUAAUUAUAAGCUUUCAAAGUGCAGAAGAGUAGUUGAGAAUGCUUUUGGCCACUUGAAAGGACGAUUCCGUCGUGUUGGAAAAGGUUUAGACAACCGUAUUGGGAAGGCACCGAUCAUUAUUAGAGCCUGCUGUGUCUUGCACAAUUAUUUAAAUGAAAUGAACGACACUAUAAAUGACAUGUGGUUGGAGAGAUUGCAAGAAGUGAACAGAAAUCUCAGCUGAAGAAAUAAGACAAGGACUAUGCAAUUAUUUUAGCUCAACCGCAGAAGCUGAGCUGCUAGGCAUUGGUGAUGAUGGCGAUGAUAGCGGCGGUGACGGUGUGGUUGGCAGAGGAGUGAGAGGUGAUGACAGCGGCGGUGACGGUGUAGGCAGCGGUGUGGUUGGCACAGCAGGAAGAGGUGAUGCCAGUGGUGACGAAAAUGUUCGGCAAUACUGGGGUCAGUGGUGAUGGCUGGGAUGCUAUGUCGGCUUCUGUUUAAAAGAAAAAAAAAAACACAAAUAAGAAUGAAAUAAAUAAAAUCAGCAUUAAAUAAAUACA